UGUGUGUCCCAUGUGUGUGUGUGUCCCCCCGUGUGUGUGUGUGUGUCCCCAUGUGUCCCCCACCGUGUGUGUGUGUCCGUCCCCAUGUGUGUGUGUGUGUCCGUCCCUGUGCGUGUGUGUGUAUCCCGUGUGUGUGUGUCCCGUGUGUGUGUCCCUGGUGUGCGUGUGUGUGUGUGUCCCGUGUGUAUGUGUGUCCCCAUGUGUGUGUGUGUCCCGUGUCCGUGUGUGUGUCCCCAUGUGUGUGUGUCCAUGUGUGUGUGUGUCCAUGUGUGUGUGUGUGUCCCCACGUGUGUGUCCCCGUGUGUGUGUGUCCAUGUGUGUGUGUGUCCAUGUGUGUGUGUGUCCAUGUGUGUGUGUGUCCAUGUGUGUGUGUGUCCAUGUGUGUGUGUGUCCAUGUGUGUGUGUGUCCAUGUGUGUGUGUGUGUCCCCGCGUGUGUGUCCCCAUGUGUGUGUGUGUGUCUGUGUGUGUGUCCCCAUGUCCCCCCCAUGUGUGCGUGUGUCCCCCCAUGUGUGUGUGUGUCCGUGUGUGUGUGUGUCCGUGUGUCCCCCUGUGUGUGUGUCCCCAUGUGUGUGUGUCCCGUGUCCGUGUGUGUGUCCCCAUGUGUGUGUGUCCAUGUGUGUGUGUGUCCGUGCGUGUGUGUGUGUGGGCGCG
rnacentral:lncRNA from 1 species